UUGAGCUCAGGUCACGAGGCUUGCACAGAAAGCUCUUUUCACUUGUUGAACCAUCUGAUUGGCCUCGAAGACAAACCUUAGAGAUAAAUGGGCCUGCUUGAGAGCCAACCACGCCCCAUUCUGCAGGAAAGCUCCCCACCUGUGCCUGGCACACGGAGGAAAGCCUACGCUUUGACUAUGGAAUUCGGUCAUCCUGAAAUCAGGACUGUGAGAUUGUAGAUUUAUCCCAGGCAUUACAUAUACCAACCACCUCCACAGAAGCUCCCUGGGUGAUGCUUCAGCCAUCUGACAGAUGAUCAUCUCUCUCAGGAUCACAUCUUGCCUAUAGCUGCUACCUAUGACUAUCCUAGGGUCACCAAAAGUGGAAGCCAUUGUGUCUGCCACUCCCUGCAACCGAACUGGUGCUUCUUGCCUCUCAGUCAUCCUGCAGAGGCUGUGUGGCAGACAGUCACUGCAGUGUGGGGUUUCUACGACACAAGCCAGAAAGAGCCAGAGGAGAAUAUGUGGCAAAGAAAUUACUGUUUCGCUCAAUCUCAAAGAUUAAUGAUCUAUUCCAUCGGUAAAGCUAAUAGAAUCAAGGAGCACCAGUACACCUA